rnacentral:lncRNA from 1 species
GGGGCGAAGGCACUGUGGCCUGGUGGAGGUGGCGCCAGCUGCUGCUGGACCUCCUCAGUCUCCUGGUCGAUGGCGCGAGUGAAGGCAGCUAUCUGCAGGAACUGAGGUUUGAGGAGAUCAAGUGGCCUGUCCACCAUCAGGCAGUAAGAGUUGCAACCAGAAUCAGAACCCAGGUGCUUGGCUCUGGUGGUUCAAGAGAGCAGACUAUGACCAAGUCACAAAGGGGCUUGUGCAAGCAGUCACUGAAAGGCUGUCCACUGGAGAUGUUCCGGCAGUUGGAUACAUAUGUCUCAAGCCCAGGAGAGAAGUCUCGGCUGGAGACUGAGUUUUGGGAGUCAUCAGCAGGUUAGAGUCAGCCAGCGUGAGACGGAAGAGGAGAGGCCAUUAUGUUUCAACGCCGGUUGCAGACAGAAGCAUGGACAGGCUUGGAGUUUAAAGCAGCUUCUGGGUGACCUUCCCAGGAAUCACAUGCAUUGAUAUUGCAGGCAUAAUAAGGCGAGCUUCCCAUUUGUAGCCACUUACUAAUGAGCGUUUGAGAGUCACUCCUUCUGAACUGCACACCGAGGUGGUCACUCCUCCAGCCCUUCCAAGAGUUGGAUAAACCUUUAAUUUUUUGUUUUAAAGCCUUUCAUACUUAAAAUACAUGCAGU